UACGGAGGGAGCGAACGUUGUUCGGAUUUACUGGGCGUAAAGGGUGUGUAGGCGGUCUUGUAAGUCAGGUGUGAAAUCUCUCGGCUCAACCGAGAAACUGCCUUUGAGACUGCAGGACUUGAGGGCGUGAGAGGAGACUGGAAUUCCUAGUGUAGCGGUGAAAUGCAUAGAUAUUAGGAGGAACACCAGUGGCGAAGGCGAGUCUCUGGCACGCAUCUGACGCUGAAACACGAAAGCCAGGGGAGCGAACGGG
rnacentral:rRNA from 1 species